AGCGAACGCUGGCGGCAGGCCUAACACAUGCAAGUCGAACGAACCUUUCGGGGUUAGUGGCGGACGGGUGAGUAACACGUGGGAACGUGCCUUUAGGUUCGGAAUAACUCAGGGAAACUUGUGCUAAUACCGAAUGUGCCCUUCGGGGGAAAGAUUAAUCGCCUUUAGAUCGGCCCGCGUCUGAUUAGCUAGUUGGUUGAGGUAAUGGCUCACCAAGGCGACGAUCAGUAGCUGGUCUGAGAGGAUGAUCAGCCACAUUGGGACUGAGACACGGCCCAAACUCCUACGGGAGGCAGCAGUGGGGAAUAUUGCGCAAUGGGCGAAAGCCUGACGCAGCCAUGCCGCGUGAAUGAUGAAGGUCUUAGGAUUGUAAAAUUCUUUCACCGGGGACGAUAAUGACGGUACCCGGAGAAGAAGCCCCGGCUAACUUCGUG
rnacentral:rRNA from 1 species